AUCGCUUCUCGGCCUUUUGGCUAAGAUCAAGUGUAGUAUCUGUUCUUAUCAGUUUAAUAUCUGAUACGUCCCCUAUCUGGGACCAUAUAUUAAAUGGAUUUUUGGGACAGGGAGAUGGAAGAAGAGCUUGCUCUGUCCACUCCACGCAUUGACCUGGUAUUGCAGUACCUCCAGGACCGGUGCACCUCUC
rnacentral:snRNA from 1 species